GGGUUGUGAGGUUAAGCGACUAAGCGUACACGGUGGAUGCCCUGGCAGUCAGAGGCGAUGAAGGACGUGCUAAUCUGCGAUAAGCGUCGGUAAGGUGAUAUGAACCGUUAUAACCGGCGAUUUCCGAAUGGGGAAACCCAGUGUGAUUCGUCACACUAUCAUUAACUGAAUCCAUAGGUUAAUGAGGCGAACCGGGGGAACUGAAACAUCUAAGUACCCCGAGGAAAAGAAAUCAACCGAGAUUCCCCCAGUAGCGGCGAGCGAACGGGGAGGAGCCCAGAGCCUGAAUCAGUGUGUGUGUUAGUGGAAGCGUCUGGAAAGGCGCGCGAUACAGGGUGACAGCCCCGUACACAAAAAUGCACAUGCUGUGAGCUCGAUGAGUAGGGCGGGACACGUGGUAUCCUGUCUGAAUAUGGGGGGACCAUCCUCCAAGGCUAAAUACUCCUGACUGACCGAUAGUGAACCAGUACCGUGAGGGAAAGGCGAAAAGAACCCCGGCGAGGGGAGUGAAAAAGAACCUGAAACCGUGUACGUACAAGCAGUGGGAGCACGCUUAGGCGUGUGACUGCGUACCUUUUGUAUAAUGGGUCAGCGACUUAUAUUCUGUAGCAAGGUUAACCGAAUAGGGGAGCCGAAGGGAAACCGAGUCUUAACUGGGCGUUAAGUUGCAGGGUAUAGACCCGAAACCCGGUGAUCUAGCCAUGGGCAGGUUGAAGGUUGGGUAACACUAACUGGAGGACCGAACCGACUAAUGUUGAAAAAUUAGCGGAUGACUUGUGGCUGGGGGUGAAAGGCCAAUCAAACCGGGAGAUAGCUGGUUCUCCCCGAAAGCUAUUUAGGUAGCGCCUCGUGAAUUCAUCUCCGGGGGUAGAGCACUGUUUCGGCAAGGGGGUCAUCCCGACUUACCAACCCGAUGCAAACUGCGAAUACCGGAGAAUGUUAUCACGGGAGACACACGGCGGGUGCUAACGUCCGUCGUGAAGAGGGAAACAACCCAGACCGCCAGCUAAGGUCCCAAAGUCAUGGUUAAGUGGGAAACGAUGUGGGAAGGCCCAGACAGCCAGGAUGUUGGCUUAGAAGCAGCCAUCAUUUAAAGAAAGCGUAAUAGCUCACUGGUCGAGUCGGCCUGCGCGGAAGAUGUAACGGGGCUAAACCAUGCACCGAAGCUGCGGCAGCGACGCUGAUGCGUUGUUGGGUAGGGGAGCGUUCUGUAAGCCUGUGAAGGUGUGCUGUGAGGCAUGCUGGAGGUAUCAGAAGUGCGAAUGCUGACAUAAGUAACGAUAAAGCGGGUGAAAAGCCCGCUCGCCGGAAGACCAAGGGUUCCUGUCCAACGUUAAUCGGGGCAGGGUGAGUCGACCCCUAAGGCGAGGCCGAAAGGCGUAGUCGAUGGGAAACAGGUUAAUAUUCCUGUACUUGGUGUUACUGCGAAGGGGGGACGGAGAAGGCUAUGUUGGCCGGGCGACGGUUGUCCCGGUUUAAGCGUGUAGGCUGGUUUUCCAGGCAAAUCCGGAAAACUAAGGCUGAGGCGUGAUGACGAGGCACUACGGUGCUGAAGCAACAAAUGCCCUGCUUCCAGGAAAAGCCUCUAAGCAUCAGGUAACAUCAAAUCGUACCCCAAACCGACACAGGUGGUCAGGUAGAGAAUACCAAGGCGCUUGAGAGAACUCGGGUGAAGGAACUAGGCAAAAUGGUGCCGUAACUUCGGGAGAAGGCACGCUGAUAUGUAGGUGAAGUCCCUCGCGGAUGGAGCUGAAAUCAGUCGAAGAUACCAGCUGGCUGCAACUGUUUAUUAAAAACACAGCACUGUGCAAACACGAAAGUGGACGUAUACGGUGUGACGCCUGCCCGGUGCCGGAAGGUUAAUUGAUGGGGUCAGCGCAAGCGAAGCUCUUGAUCGAAGCCCCGGUAAACGGCGGCCGUAACUAUAACGGUCCUAAGGUAGCGAAAUUCCUUGUCGGGUAAGUUCCGACCUGCACGAAUGGCGUAAUGAUGGCCAGGCUGUCUCCACCCGAGACUCAGUGAAAUUGAACUCGCUGUGAAGAUGCAGUGUACCCGCGGCAAGACGGAAAGACCCCGUGAACCUUUACUAUAGCUUGACACUGAACAUUGAGCCUUGAUGUGUAGGAUAGGUGGGAGGCUUUGAAGUGUGGACGCCAGUCUGCAUGGAGCCGACCUUGAAAUACCACCCUUUAAUGUUUGAUGUUCUAACGUUGACCCGUAAUCCGGGUUGCGGACAGUGUCUGGUGGGUAGUUUGACUGGGGCGGUCUCCUCCUAAAGAGUAACGGAGGAGCACGAAGGUUGGCUAAUCCUGGUCGGACAUCAGGAGGUUAGUGCAAUGGCAUAAGCCAGCUUGACUGCGAGCGUGACGGCGCGAGCAGGUGCGAAAGCAGGUCAUAGUGAUCCGGUGGUUCUGAAUGGAAGGGCCAUCGCUCAACGGAUAAAAGGUACUCCGGGGAUAACAGGCUGAUACCGCCCAAGAGUUCAUAUCGACGGCGGUGUUUGGCACCUCGAUGUCGGCUCAUCACAUCCUGGGGCUGAAGUAGGUCCCAAGGGUAUGGCUGUUCGCCAUUUAAAGUGGUACGCGAGCUGGGUUUAGAACGUCGUGAGACAGUUCGGUCCCUAUCUGCCGUGGGCGCUGGAGAACUGAGGGGGGCUGCUCCUAGUACGAGAGGACCGGAGUGGACGCAUCACUGGUGUUCGGGUUGUCAUGCCAAUGGCACUGCCCGGUAGCUAAAUGCGGAAGAGAUAAGUGCUGAAAGCAUCUAAGCACGAAACUUGCCCCGAGAUGAGUUCUCCCUGACCCUUUAAGGGUCCUGAAGGAACGUUGAAGACGACGACGUUGAUAGGCCGGGUGUGUAAGCGCAGCGAUGCGUUGAGCUAACCGGUACUAAUGAACCGUGAGGCUUAACCUUACAACGCCGAAG
rnacentral:rRNA from 1 species